CAGGAUUAGAUAGCCUGGUAGUCCACGCCCUAAACGAUGCCAACUAGUUGUUGGGGAAGGAGACUUCCUUAGUACCGUAGCUAACGCGUGAAGUUGGCCGCCUGGGGAGUACGGUCGCAAGAUUAAAACUCAAAGGAAUUGACGGGGACCCGCACAAGCGGUGGAUGAUGUGGAUUAAUUCGAUGCAACGCGAAAAACCUUACCUACCCUGGACAUGCCAGGAAUCCCGGAGAGAUUUGGGAGUGCUCGAAAGAGAGCCUGGACACAGGUGCUGCAUGGCUGUCGUCAGCUCGUGUCGUGAGAUGUUGGGUUAAGUCCCGCAACGAGCGCAACCCUUGUCAUUAGUUGCCAUCAUUUAGUUGGGCACUCUAAUGAGACUGCCGGUGACAAACCGGAGGAAGGUGGGGAUGACGUCAAGUCCUCAUGGCCCUUAUGGGUAGGGCUUCACACGUCAUACAAUGGUCGGUACAGAGGGUUGCCAAGCCGCGAGGUGGAGCCAAUCCCAGAAAGCCGAUCGUAGUCCGGAUCGGAGUCUGCAACUCGACUCCGUGAAGUCGGAAUCGCUAGUAUAUCGUGGAUCAGCAUGUCACGGUGAAUACGUUCCCGGGUCUUGUACACACCGCCCGUCACACCAUGGG
rnacentral:rRNA from 1 species